AAAGCUAAGUUCUGGCCUCAGCUGUACCAACAUCUGUUUGGCCGACCUGGAGGGUUUUCAUCUAUACCUUUAAUCACACUGAUCUCAAAUCGCCUUCUACAUUAGAACAGGAGUUGGUAAGCCUUUUCUAAAAAGGGCCGGGGAGUAAACACGUUAGGCUUUUCAGGUCAGACAGCCGCUGUCACCACCAUUCAAUCUGCCAUUACCGUGUGCACGUAGGCAUGGAUGCUCUGUAGACCAAGGGGCAAGACUGUGCCAAUAACACACUACAGAAACAGACGGUGGGCUGGAUUUGGCCCGUGGACCCGAGUCUCCCGACACCUGACUUAGACCCCUGGCUUGUGUGUUGCGCUCCGCCUCACGCCUCCCUGCUCACUGCCUCUCCCACCUGGUCUUUAUUUUCUGGUCUGUUUUGCUUAUCUCUUCCUGUUGCCUUUUCUGUAUCCCACCCCGACCCAUAGCCCUACGCAGUCUUUUCAUUCCCUCCCAUGGGAACCCACCGGUGGCCCCUUUGAGGCCCCCGCUCCCACAGAGCAAAGCUUUCCACUCACCUUGCUCUCCGGGUUGUUGCAGACCUCAGGGAGUCAAGCGCACAAAGAAGCUCAGAGCGCAGGGUCCUUUUAUCCUGUCUCAGCCCGGCAGGAGGAAACCAAAGGGGUUUCCCCAGCGUUUCCUGGUGUCCCGAUGUCUCAUCCAGUUCUCAACACUGUCACACUCUCUCUUGGCCUGCACAUCUCCAGUUUGGCAGCUUUUGGGUGAAGAACAUUUCUUAAGAUUUGGUUGUUCUACAAUUCAGUUGUAAUUUUGAUGUGUUCACGGGAUGAGGCUGGCAUAGCGUUUACCUACCACGGCAUCUUGGAUCUCCUUCCGCCUCCAACGUUUCUGAUGAGAAUUUGGCUGAAAAUCUUAUUGAGGAUCCCUUGUAUGUGAGAGUCUACUUGUGUUUCAGAUUUGGCCUGAUCCUCUCUCUCGACUGUUUGCUGACAAUGUGUUUCGCUGUGGAUUUCUUUGGACUUAUCCUACUUGGACUUGUUGAGCUUCUUGGAUGGGUCGUUUUGACUUUUCCAGAAGUCAUAUAAAUGGACUCAUAUAGCAUGUAGCCCUUCAGGCUGACUUCUGUUACUUAGCAAUUUGCAUUUAACAUUCAACAAUGUCUUUUUGGGCUUGAAAUUUCAUUUCUUUUUAUGACUGAAGACUAUUCCAUUGUAUGGGUGGUGUACCAGUUUAUCCGAUCAUCUAUUGAAGGACGUCUUGAUUGCUUCCAGGUCUGGAAAUUCUGAAUAAAGCUUCUAAAAACA